rnacentral:rRNA from 1 species
GAAAGGAGUGGUGGACUGCUAGGAAGAGAGAAUGCCGGAAUGAGUAGCGAGAUGAAGGUGAGAAUCCUUCAGGCCGAAUAUCUAAGGUUUCCAGAGUAAAGCUGACCUGCUCUGGGUAAGUCGGGACCUAAGGCGAGGUCGAAAGACGUAGUCGAUGGAUAACAGGUUGAAAUUCCUGUACCGCAUAUAAACAGAACUGUGGGGACACAGACAGGGAAUGGAAUCCGGGGAUGGAGAACCCGGAGCAAGCGAGGUAGGAGUGCUGUUGGCAAAUCCGCAGCACGAUCUGAAGACGUGAUGCGUACCGAACAUAAGUAGGGAAGUCCAGGCCCCUGGCUGUCAAGAAAAGCCGCUAUUGUUUUAUAUGUGCCCGUACCGCAAACCGACACAGGUGGAUGAGGAGAGAAUCCUAAGGCCGACGGGAGAAGUAUUGUUAAGGAACUCGGCAAAAUGACUCCGUAACUUCGGGAGAAGGAGUGCCAUGAGAGUGGCCGCAGAGAAAUGGCCCAAGCAACUGUUUAGCAAAAACACAGGUCUAUGCAAAACCGCAAGGUGAAGUAUAUGGGCUGACGCCUGCCCGGUGCUGGAAGGUUAAGGGGAGAGGUUAGCGCAAGCGAAGCUUUGAACUUAAGCCCCAGUAAACGGCGGCCGUAACAAUAACGGUCCUAAGGUAGCGAAAUUCCUUGUCGGGUAAGUUCCGACCCGCACGAAAGGCGUAAUGAUUUGGGCACUGUCUCAACGAUACACCCGGUGAAAUUGAAAUACCAGUGAAGAUGCUGGUUACUUGCGCCAGGACGGAAAGACCCCAUGGAGCUUUACUCCAGUUUGAUACUGGGAUUCGGCAUGGUAUGUACAGGAUAGGUGGGAGACUGAGAAGGUAUGACGUCAGUUGUACCGGAGUCGCUGUUGGGAUACCACCCUUACCAUGUUGGAUUUCUAACCUGUGGCCGUGAACCGGUCAGGGGACAAUGUCAGGCGGGGAGUUUGACUGGGGCGGUCGCCUCCGAAAGGGUAUCGGAGGCGCUCAAAGGUUCCCUCAGAAUGGUUGGAAACCAUUCGAAGAGUGCAAAGGCAGAAGGGAGCUUGACUGUGACACCGACGGGUGGAGCAGGUACGAAAGUAGGACUUAGUGAUCCGGUGGUAUAAAGUGGGAUUGCCAUCGCUCAACGGAUAAAAGCUACCCUGGGGAUAACAGGCUUAUCACUCCCAAGAGUUCACAUCGACGGAGUGGUUUGGCACCUCGAUGUCGGCUCAUCGCAUCCUGGAGCUGUAGCAGGUUCCAAGGGUUGGGCUGUUCGCCCAUUAAAGCGGUACGCGAGCUGGGUUCAGAACGUCGUGAGACAGUUCGGUCCCUAUCCGGCGCAGGCGGAGGAAAUUUGAUAGGAGCUGUCCUUAGUACGAGAGGACCGGGAUGGACGGACCGCUGGUGUAUCUGUUGUACUGCCAAGUGCAUCGCAGAGUAGCCAAGUCUGGAAGGGAUAAACGCUGAAGGCAUCUAAGCGUGAAGCCCCCCUAAAGAUAAGAUUUCCCAUACCGAAAGGUAGUAAGACCCCUUGAAGACGACGAGGUAGAUAGGGCAGAGGUGGAAGUGUGGUAACGCAUGGAGCUGACUGUUACUAAUCGGUCGAGGCUUUAACU